UUCAUUUACCGAAAGACAAUGGUAGUAUGGUGCUCAUCACAUUGGUAUACGGGCGGCUUCUUAAGCAACAGUAAAAUCAUUAGUUUAAUCAAUAUGGAUGCUGAAAAAAUUGGAGACUUCUGCUGGUAAAUCCAUGGAAUUUGGUUGGUUGCUUCCUGGCCCUCAUCAUCUUCAGAGCAAAAUCAACCCUCUCUCUAGUAAUAUGGAUCCUUUGCAACAGCACUUGGAUAAAGAGAUUUGGAAGGAUCUCAACAAGCAUAAUCUCACAAUGAUAGUGAAUCAAGAUCAGAGGCUUCUUGGUGCACCAGGUGUAGAAAUUAGUUGCAGUUGCGGAAGAUAGAGAAAAUUGGAGCAUUGGACAGCUCAAAGCUGUACCAGUUCUACUUCAUUUUAUGCUUCAAAACUAGGACAUUUUUCUAAAUCUCACAGACCCACCAUGUGUAAAUCACCAAUGCCUCCUUGUCAUCACCUGUAUUGUCAUCAUCUCAAUUUUGAACCUCGGUUUUGGUUUUUAUGAAUACUGGAAUCAUAGACUUAUCACUAGCAAAUCUGUGUUCUUAGUCAUGACUUGGGUAUUAGCAACUUUAGUUAUAGUCUUUUCAAAGAAUAGAACACUAAGUGAAGACAUAAGGUGGCCAUUAAUCCUUAUCCUCUUGUGGAUCUUUUCCUUCAUCUUUGAUUCGGGUUCUCUCUUUACAAAAUCACCCAUUUGAAAUCAAUUGAUUUGCCAAGUCCUUUGCCAGAACCUAACAUAUUUGAUUUUGCUACCUUUCCUUUGGCAAUACUGCUUUGUUUCAAUGCUUUUCCUACUAGUUGUACUAGGAAACACAAUGACAUAGUAGAACCUUUACAGCAAACAGAAGUUGAAAGUUCCUCUGGUGAUGAUGAUGCAUUCUUUAAUUGAAAUCCAAAAUCCACUAUGGUCUGAUUCAUGCAACCAUUUUCUUCUUUGCAAAGACAGUGGAGUUCCUUACUCAAAGAUAAUGGACUAUCGGUGCUCAGCACAUCAGUGUAUGAGUACGAGCAACUCUAAUGGUAUUGAUUUACAAGAAAACUCUAUCAAUUAAGCAUGCUGGUUCAAGCAAUGACAGAAUCAUAAAUUCAAUCAACAUGGAUGCUGAAAAAAUUGGAGAC